AAACAUAGCCACUAGACGAUAUUAUGUGGUCCUACCUGCCCAAUGUUGACAUGAAUGGCCGCGGUACUCUGACCGUGCUAAGGUAGCGUAAUCAGUUGAUCUUUAAAUGAGGUCAGGAAUGAAUGGAUAAACUGGGUCUAGCUGUCUCUACUUUAUUAUCUUGAAUUUACUGUCUAAGUGAAAAAGCUUAGUUUUUAAAAAGGGACGAGAAGACCCUUAGAAUUUUUACAAAAGGGUUAAUUAUUAAUUCUACGUUUUUAUUGGGGCGAUAUAGAAAGAGUUAAAACUUUCUUUAAAGACAAGCCGAUAUUUAUAAGCAAGGAUAAAUUACCUGAGGGAUAACAGCAUAAUUCUAUAAGUGAGUUUGUGACCUCGAUGUUGGACUAGGAAACUAACAGGCUAGCCGUUUGUUAUGUUAGGUUCUGUUCGAACUUUUAUUCCU
rnacentral:rRNA from 1 species